AAUUUUUAAAAAGAUGAGUGUGUAUGCACACAUGCAUUGUGUGUGCAUGUGUGUAUACCUGUGUAUGGGUGUGUGCAUGCACCUAGGGCUUAGGCAGGGUCCAAGCUUGCUAUUCACAGUUGCCUGGGUGCAUCUGGAGAGAUAAUGGCAUUGUGGAGGUACAUUCUUUUUGCAGGCAUCCUGGGGAGCACAUCCAGGAUAGGUUGGCAGACUUGACAGCAGCCCCUCAGGGUUCUGGGGGAAGGUGCAUGCCCAUUAUAGGGUGGUGGCCCUUCUGGUUGGCUCCAUCAGAUGGGCCUGAGGCCUGUGAGUUCAGAAAGCAGUGGCAGUGGUGUACCUGGUUUGGGGCUUGUCUGAUGGCAGGAGACAGACCAGGGGGAAAAGUAUUCACUUUUCUCAGUUGCAGGGCUCAGGGUCAGAGAGGGAAGUGGUGUCCUGUAGGGGAAGCUUUACAAAGAGCUUGAGGACACCUGGGGCCCCCACAGGCUCUGGGAAUGUGGUAGGAUUGUGAGCCUGUAUGAGCAGGGGGGAGCAUGGUGGAAGGUGACCUUUAUAUGGUCACUGUUCCUGUGGCCCACUAUCUUCCCAGACUGGCUAGCCUCCAGGAAGCCGAGGUGUUUGUGCUGAUGGAAGGGGCAGAUGCAUGUUAGAAUGUUGCCAUGGUUAUUGUUGGAGAGGGCACCUUGUAGAAGCUUUUAAAUUUCUUCACACUUUUCUUUAUUUUUAAAAAUUUGAACACAUUUUUACAAUAAAAGUGGCUGCUUGGGGCUGGGUUCGGUGGUGUUGGCCUGUAAUCCCAGUGGCUAGGAAGACUGAGACAGGAGGGUUGCGAGUUCAAAGCCAGCCUCACCAAAAAAAUUGAGAUGCUAAGCAACUCAGUGAGAUUGUGUCUCUAAAUAAAAUACAAAAUAGGGCUGGGGAUGUGGCUCAGUGGUUGAGUAACCCUGAGUUCAAUCCCCAGUACCAAAAAAAAAAAAAAAAGUGGCUGCUUGGUCAUAUACCAUUUAGAAGCUGGAACAAAGCAGAGCUGCUCC
rnacentral:lncRNA from 1 species